AGCUUUGUAGUCAAUAAUGAUAUAAAAUUGCAAAUUUUAAGGAGUAAAUUAUAAUACUAAGGCUU
rnacentral:tRNA from 1 species